UACGUAGGGGGCAAGCGUUGUCCGGAUUUAUUGGGCGUAAAGAGCGUGUAGGCGGCCAUGUAGGUCCGUUGUGAAAACUCGAGGCUCAACCUCCAGCCUGCAGUGGGUACGGGCAAACUAGAGUGCGGUAGGGGAGAUUGGAAUUCCUGGUGUAGCGGUGGAAUGCGCAGAUAUCAGGAGGAACACCGAUGGCGAAGGCAGAUCUCUGGGCCGUAACUGACGCUGAGGAGCGAAAGCAUGGGGAGCGAACAGG
rnacentral:rRNA from 1 species